rnacentral:rRNA from 1 species
UAUGCAACUUACCUAUCAGAGGGGGAUAGCCCGGCGAAAGUCGGAUUAAUACCCCAUAAAACAGGGGUCCCGCAUGGGAAUAUUUGUUAAAGAUUCAUCGCCGAUAGAUAGGCAUGCGUUCCAUUAGGCAGUUGGCGGGGUAACGGCCCACCAAACCGACGAUGGAUAGGGGUUCUGAGAGGAAGGUCCCCCACAUUGGUACUGAGACACGGACCAAACUCCUACGGGAGGCAGCAGUGAGGAAUAUUGGUCAAUGGCCGAGAGGCUGAACCAGCCAAGUCGCGUGAAGGAAGAAGGAUCUAUGGUUUGUAAACUUCUUUUAUAGGGGAAUAAAGUGGAGGACGUGUCCUUUUUUGUAUGUACCCUAUGAAUAAGCAUCGGCUAACUCCGUGCCAGCAGCCGCGGUAAUACGGAGGAUGCGAGCGUUAUCCGGAUUUAUUGGGUUUAAAGGGUGCGUAGGUGGUGAUUUAAGUCAGCGGUGAAAGUUUGUGGCUCAACCAUAAAAUUGCCGUUGAAACUGGGUUACUUGAGUGUGUUUGAGGUAGGCGGAAUGCGUGGUGUAGCGGUGAAAUGCAUAGAUAUCACGCAGAACUCCGAUUGCGAAGGCAGCUUACUAAACCAUAACUGACACUGAAGCACGAAAGCGUGGG